rnacentral:tRNA from 1 species
UCCUUGCUGGCUCAGACAGUAAAGCAUCUGCCUAUAGUGCAGGAGCUCCAGGUUCAAUCCCUGGGUCAGGAA